rnacentral:rRNA from 1 species
AGAGUUUGAUCCUGGCUCAGGAUGAACGCUAGCGACAGGCUUAACACAUGCAAGUCGAGGGGCAGCGAGGGAGUGGCAACACUUCUGUCGGCGACCGGCGCACGGGUGAGUAACGCGUAUGCAACCUGCCCUUCACAGGGGGAUAACCGGGAGAAAUUCCGACUAAUACCGCAUACGUCCUUUGGGGGCAUCCCCGGAGGAUGAAAGAAUUAUCGGUGAAGGAUGGGCAUGCGUGAUAUUAGGUAGUUGGCGGGGCAACGGCCCACCAAGCCCACGAUAUCUAGGGGUUCUGAGAGGAAGGUCCCCCACAUUGGUACUGAGACACGGACCAAACUCCUACGGGAGGCAGCAGUGAGGAAUAUUGGUCAAUGGACGAGAGUCUGAACCAGCCAAGUCGCGUGAAGGAAGACGGAUCUAUGGUUUGUAAACUUCUUUAGUGCGGGAACAAAGCGGCGUCGUGACGCCGGAUGAGUGUACCGCAAGAAUAAGCAUCGGCUAACUCCGUGCCAGCAGCCGCGGUAAUACGGAGGAUGCGAGCGUUAUCCGGAUUUAUUGGGUUUAAAGGGAGCGCAGGCUGCGAGGCAAGUCAGCGGUCAAAUGUCGGGGCUCAACCCCGGCCUGCCGUUGAAACUGUCCUGCUAGAGUUCGAGUGAGGUAUGCGGAAUGCGUUGUGUAGCGGUGAAAUGCAUAGAUAUGACGCAGAACUCCGAUUGCGAAGGCAGCAUACCAACUCGCGACUGACGCUGAGGCUCGAAAGCGUGGGUAUCGAACAGGAUUAGAUACCCUGGUAGUCCACGCAGUAAACGAUGAAUACUAACUGUUCGGAGGGCGACCUCUGAGUGGUAAAGCGAAAGCGUUAAGUAUUCCACCUGGGGAGUACGCCGGCAACGGUGAAACUCAAAGGAAUUGACGGGGGCCCGCACAAGCGGAGGAACAUGUGGUUUAAUUCGAUGAUACGCGAGGAACCUUACCCGGGCUCAAACGUCGGGCGAAUCAUCCUGAAAGGGGUGAGCCAGCAAUGGCGGCC